rnacentral:rRNA from 1 species
GGAUGAUGCUGUGCCUGUUACAUUCUGUGAUGACUCUGGAUAACUUUACUGAUCGCAGUCGGCCUUGUGUGUCGGCGACGGAUCUUUCAAAUGUCUGCCCUAUCAAUUUGUUGGUAGGUGAUUUGCCUACCAUGAUGAUAACGGGUAACGGGGAAUCAGGGUUCGAUUCCGGAGAGGGAGCCUGAGAAAUGGCUACCACAUCCAAGGACGGCAGCAGGCGCGAAAAUUACCCACUCCCAGCACGGGGAGGUAGUGACGAAAAAAUCGGAUACGGGACUCAAUUGAGGCUCCGUAAUUCGAAUGAGUACAAUUUAAAUCCUUUAACGAGGACCAAUUGGAGGGCAAGUCUGGUGCCAGCAGCCGCGGUAACUCCAGCUCCAAAAGCGUAUAUUAAAGUUGCUGCAGUUAAAAAGCUCGUAGUUGGAUCUGGGUAGUGCGAUCGCAUGCUGUUGCUUGUUCACGGUCUUGGUUACGAUCAGGGCAGUGGUCAGCUCGGCGUAGUGGUUGUGCAACCUUUCAGCCGUGUCUGUGUUUUAUUAAACAGGUGUCGAUGGGUUAAUGAGUAUUGUAUCUUAUUGACCUGUUGGCAUGCUUUCGGAUGCCUUUAAACGGGUGUCGGGGGCGGACGGCAUCUUUACUUUGAACAAAUUUGCUGCUCAAAGCAGGCCUAUGCGCCUGAAAAUUCUUGCAUGGAAUAAUGAAAUAGGACUUCGGUUCUAUUUUGUUGGUUUUCGGAUCCGAAGUAAUGGUUAAGAGGGACAGACGGGGGCAUUUGUAUGGCGGUGUUAGAGGUGAAAUUCUGGGAUCGCCGCCAGACAAACUACAGCGAAAGCAUUUGCCAAGAAUGUUUUCAUUGAUCAGGAGCGAAAGUCAGAGUUUCGAAGACGAUCAGAUACCGUCGUAGUUCUGACCAUAAACGAUGCCAACUGACGAUCCGCGUUGGUUCUAUAAUUGACAUCGCGGGCAGUCCCCGGGAAACCUUUAAGUCUUUGGGCUCCGGGGGGAGUAUGGUUGCAAAGCUGAAACUUAAAGGAAUUGACGGAAGGGCACCACCAGGAGUGGAGCCUGCGGUUUAAUUCGACUCAACACGGGAAAACUCACCCGGCCCGGACACUGUGAGGAUUGACAGAUUGAAAGCUCUUUCUUGAUUCGGUGGUUGGUGGUGCAUGGCCGUUCUUAGUUGGUGGAGCGAUUUGUCUGGUUACUA